UUAAAAAAGAAAGAAAAGGCUCUGUCCUUAAUGUGUUUAUAGGACAUAACAAUUGCAGAAUUUUUUAAUCGCUUUCAGUUUUGGGAAGAAGAUUUGUGUUUGGACAGAACUAUUUACAACAAUCCCUUGGAUUCAAAAUUAAUAUUUCACUAAUCAAAAUUGUUAAUUUAAAAACUUGACAUUUCUUCAACCUUUAACUGCAAACCCUUUAACAAUUACACAACAAUGAAUCUGUCCUACACAAAAUUGUAUCUUAAUUCUGGUGAAAAAAAUCACUAACAAUCAAAGAAAAUUUUGAUUCUGCUUAGCAAUACUGUAGCACUAUAGUCAAGAGGUACCCAGGUCAGAAACACACAGUGUUAUUGAUCUCAACAUUGAGAGUACUGCAAUAGAAUUCUAAAACAGCAAUAGUUUAAAGUAGCAUUUCUGUUUAUUGACAAAAGCUACUUUUAGAGAAUAAAUACUCUUGUAUAAAUACUUAAGCAUUAUCAUUUGUGAAGGACAAUAUCUCUGAAAGUGUUGUGUUUUUCCUUUGAUGAAAAAACCCCGGUCUGCCAGGAUUUCCCUACGUGGUGUUGGAAGGCAUUCCAGAGGUUUUAUGUUCCCUUGGCAUCUUUGCACACACAAGUUUGUGGGAAAUACAGUUGUUUAAGGUGAGAUCACAUUGGAAUAAGGUGGACCUCAUCCAGUAUGAGAGAUGUCCUUAUGAAAAGAUGCCAUGUGAAGAGCCAGACAAGCGUAGAGGAUAAGCAAUGUGAAGAUGCGGGGAAGUAGAAACACCAUCACCAUGCCAAGGAAUGGCUGAGGCUACCCAGAAGCUGGGAGAGAGGAACAGAAGAAACUAUUUCCCAGAGUCCUCCGAAGGAAGUAACCUUGGGAACCUCUUAUCUCAGCUGAAACUCCAGAUCUGCAAGACCAGUGGAGCGGAGGAGUUGAUCUCGGGAUUAUCCAUGCAGUCAGUUGUCUCAAGCAGGAUUAAUUUCUCUAAGUUCAAUGAGUGUUUAAAGCAAUGGAGCAGAUUGUGUUUCUAGUGGAGACAAGAGCCCCAGAUCUGAACACUGUUUCCAUAGACUUUCUCGGUCACUGUAACACAGCUCUUCUAGAAUGUCUCUGAGGUGCAGACAAGAUGCCUCAGAGCCACCGCUGGGACUCAUCCACUUCUCUCUUGUGCUAUUUUCCUUCCUGUACGGAAAGUGUUUCCUUGAAGACAACAUAAUGGAUCUCUAAAUGAGGCUCAUCUGGGACGUGAUACUGAAUGAUGGAUGGCGCCGAAUCAAUCAGUCACAUGCUGACAUGGUCCAUUCGGUAGCAGUCCUCCAUGGAAAAUGUUUCCCGUCGUUAAGUGCGCUCAUUGUCUGCCAUCCUGACCAGCUGGGCAGGCUCACCCCAGCAUCCUCUCAGAUGACCACACUUGAAUACGUCUCAGGUCGUUGUUGAGGAUUCUGCUGUAGUUUCACAUGGAGAAGGAGCUCUAGACUUUCCCUGUGAAGCUAGGCAAAGAGAAGAUGGAGAAGGAGCCUUAUGAAUUGAUUGUGAAAUGAGAGGGUGGGAGCCUGGGAAGGUGGGACUUCAAAUGUGAGUAGAGGUUGCUAGAAAUGGCUUCUUGAUAGAAGACCAGAAAGAAGUAACCAACGGUUGUGUGGAAGAAGAGACCCUGAAACAUUUCCAGAGUGAGGCUAAGUUUUCUGGAAAAUCUGUGCCUACAAAUUUAUUUGUGCAGUAAAAGUUAAAAUAUUUCAUUUUUAAUGCAAGGUUUCAAAGUCCUGCAUUUGCUCCUUACCCCCCUUUAAACCUCCAGGUCUCUAAACUCCUUUGUCGGCACAGAAAUUGAUGCCCUCUUAAUUUUUCUCUAGAUAUCAGGCUAGCAAGAGAGUUACUAUACCUACUUACUUCACCCAUACGGAGGGGUGACAAGCUAAUCCUCACAGACACACUGCUAGGGCAAUCUGUCUUGGAGGAAGAAGGAAGGAAGGAGUUGGGAUUUCUCAGGGAGAGGAGAGAGAGAUGUUGUUCUCAUUAUCCAGACGUCUUUUGAAGGUGCAGUCUCCCUAUGCCCAUGGUGAGUCUGUUGCCUGCUUUUCAUGUCAACUGGACACAAGUUUGGGUCAUCUGGGAAGCAGAAAUAUUAACUGAGAAAAACGACUCUAUAGGAAUGGCCUGGAGGCAAGUCUAUAGGACACUUUCUUGAUUGAUAAUUGAUGUGGGAGGGCCCACAUCACUAUGGGUGCCACCACCUCCGGCAGGUGGUUCUGGGUGGUACAAGAAAGCAGUGAGCAAACCGCGAGGGAGCGAGCAAGCAAGCAAGAAGAACUUUUCCAGGGCCUGUGUAUCAGUUACCACCUCCUGGUUCCCGUCCUGUUUGAGUUUCUGGUCUGACUUACCUUGGUGAUAGACUGUUUUGUGGAAAUGUAAACUGAA